GUGACAGUUGAAGUUAUAAAUCUGUGUAGAAAAUAUAAUGGAUUUAAGAAAGAAAACGAAUGUUGAAGUAAUUCAUUUAAUUUUCCUGUGUGUAUUAUUUGGUUUGUGACCAUGCUAACGGAUGUUAAACUACAGGACUGGAACUUAUGUUGAAUUUGAUACAUAUUAUCCACACAAACUAUUCAUUUAAAUGUAAACAGAUAGAUUAGAUAGACAGACAGACAGACAGAUAGAUAGAUAGAUAGAUAGAUAGAUAGAUAGAUAGAUAGAAAUAUCAUAACUACAAUGAGGGUAACUUUGCACAGAACUUCUGUUGGACUCACAAAAUAAGACCGUGCUAGGCCAUUUGUGUAUUUGACAUAGGUAUUAUAACACACACACACACACACACACACACACACACACACUGUCUGUGAUGUUUUCUUUGCAAUCAUAUUAUUUAUAUAUUUUAUAAGUUGUUAUGUAAGUUGUUUGUCAGUUAUGUAAGUUUUUAUCCUAUGUUUUAUGCAUUUUAUUUAUUAUUUGAUUUCAAUUUCAUUUGCAAUGUUGACUAAAAUAUUUCCUGUUUUUAUUAAUUUAUUUUUUCAUUAAAUUAUGUAAAAUUACAUGACACUUGGCUGGAUGUGAGAUGACAAUGGGGGGUGACAUAAUAAUUAUUCUGAAGGCAGAAUAAUUAUUUUUAAUUAAAUUUAAUUUUAAUAAACAUUUGAAGCACCCAUAUUCUCUUAGUGCAGCAGUUUGUACUUGACAUUAUUUUCCAUGAAGUUUAGACAUUUGUUUUCAAUAUGAAACUACUUUAGUUAGUAUUAUAAUUAAAUGCUAGGCUAUAUAUAAAAAUGUUACAAAAAUUCACUGAUUUAAAAAACGUCCUUAAAACGUAUUUUCGCUGCACAUUCAGUUAUUUUAUUUUUAUCUAUUAUUUUUAUCUUCUAAGCAGAUAAAAAAUAAGAUGAACAACGAUUACUUUGUUGAAGGUGAAUUAGACUUCUAUUAAUUAUUUUUCAAAACAUUUUCGGUCAUUUCCUGUUGUUGAGGUAAUGCGGGUGAUUGGUUGUUCACGUUUCCUCCCCUGUCUUCCUCAAACAGUCAAGGCCGGGUCAGUGCUGAAGUUUUGUAAGUAUUUUUAAGAAGAACACAAGAUCCAUAUGACCAACUGUUUUCUGCCAACGCAGCAACAUGAAAAUCCAUCAUCUGCAACUCAUGAUCACCCUGGAAUAGGGAUGCAGCAUAGCCAUUUGUCUGCAGUCAGUUUGCUGAGCAGUGACAUCCCGCAUACCUCAUCAUGGCACAUCCUUCCUGGGGGUCUUGGCCAAAACAGUCAGCGCCUGAUUAACCCCAACAACCUGUGAAAGUGCAUGUGUGAUGUUGAGAUUCAGCUUUUCCACUCAGGACAGCUGAUUGCCUCAUGCAGAAUUCACGAAACGGAGCAAACAUCUGAUGCUUCAGAAGGCAAGACACAAUAUUAAAGCUUUGCAGGGUGCUGCUGUCAACAGUGACGUGGUGGGGUUCCUGCAGCAUGCAGCUGUGGAUGUGAUUCACAAGUAAAUAAAUAAAUGAUAAGGACCUGAGCUUCAGAGCCAUUUAAGAUGUGACAUUAUAUAAGCAUAUAGUCUCUAUUUUUCUUUGUUUAAUGGAUCAGCAUGUGGUCGCUCCCUGCUCAA